ensembl:miRNA
AGAUGGAGUGAGCACACUGAGCGAGCGGACAUCCUUCCAUAGUAAAUAAGCGGUGCCGUGCGCUCCGCUGGCUCCCGAACACUCCAGUCC